rnacentral:ncRNA from 1 species
UGUUCUCAGGGCGGGGUGUAAUUCCCCACCGGCGGUAAAGGCAGCGACGCCAAGCCCGCGAGCGCUCCCAAAGAACGGGAGGUCAGCAGAUCCGGUGUAACUCCGGAGCCGACGGUCAUAGUCCGGAUGAAAGAGAACG